CCUACGGGACGCAGCAGUGGGGAAUAUUGCACAAUGGGGGAAACCCUGAUGCAGCGACGCCGCGUGAGUGAAGAAGUAUUUCGGUACGUAAAGCUCUAUCAGCAGGGAAGAAAAUGACGGUACCUGACUAAGAAGCCCCGGCUAACUACGUGCCAGCCGCCGCGGUAAUACGUAGGGGGCAAGCGUUAUCCGGAUUUACUGGGUGUAAAGGGAGCGUAGACGGCAAUACAAGUCGGAAGCGAAAUACGCGGGCUCAACCUGGGAACUGCUGUGGAAACUGUAUUGCUGGAGUUCUGGAGAGGUAA
rnacentral:rRNA from 1 species